GGUGUUUGGCACCUCGAUGUCGGCUCAUCUCAUCCUGGGGCUGAAGCAGGUCCCAAGGGUAUGGCUGUUCGCCAUUUAAAGAGGUACGCGAGCUGGGUUUAGAACGUCGUGAGACAGUUCGGUCCCUAUCUGCCGUGGGCGUUUGAGAAUUGAAGGGAGCUGCUCCUAGUACGAGAGGACCGGAGUGGACGUACCCCUGGUGUUCCGGUUGUCACGCCAGUGGCAUUGCCGGGUAGCUACGUACGGAACCGAUAACCGCUGAAAGCAUCUAAGCGGGAAGCGGCACCUAAGAUUAGUUCUCACUGGAACUUUAAGUUCCUUGUAGGUCCGUCGAAGACUACGACGUUGAUAGGCAGGGUGUUGAAGCRCAGUAAUGUGUGAAGCUAACCUGUACUAAUUGACCGUAAGGCUUGACCAUAUAACCCCAAG
rnacentral:rRNA from 1 species